GACGAACGCUGGCGGCGUGCUUAACACAUGCAAGUCGAACGGAAAGGCCCUGCUUUUGUGGGGUGCUCGGGUGGCGACCGGGUGAGUAACACGUGAGUAACCUGCCCUUGCCUUUGGGAUAACUUCAGGAAACUGGGGCUAAUACCGGAUAGGAGCUCCUGCUGCAUGGUGGGGGUUGGAAAGUUUCGGGGGUUGGGGAUGGACUCGCGGCUUCUCAGCUUGUGGGGGGGGUAGUGGCUUACCAAGGCUUUGACGGGUAUGGGGCCGGAGAGGGUGACCGGCCACUGGGAGUCAGAGACGCGGCAGAGACCUAUAGGGGAGGGAGGUGUGGGAAAUAGUGCAAAGGGGGCGGGAGUGAGAUGGAGCCGCGGCGCGUGCGGGAUGGCGGUUUUGGGGGUGUAAAGCGUUUUCGCGUGUGACGAAGCGUGAGUGACGGUAAGGGGUAAAGAAGCACCGGCUAAAUACG
rnacentral:rRNA from 1 species